rnacentral:rRNA from 1 species
UACCUAGGUGGCAAGCGUUGUCCGGAAUUAUUGGGCGUAAAGCGCGCGCAGGCGGUUAUGUAAGUCUGAUGUUAAAGCCCGGGGCUCAACCUCGGUUCGCAUUGGAAACUGUGUAACUUGAGUGCAGAAGAGGAAAGUGGUAUUCCACGUGUAGCGGUGAAAUGCGUAGAUAUGUGGAGGAACACCAGUGGCGAAGGCGACUUUCUGGUCUGUAACUGACGCUGAGGCGCGACAGCGUGGGGAGCUAACAGG